CCCGGAGGACCGACAACUUCGGAUGGAGGCGGGGGACCCACCGGUCCACCGAGUCAACGGGGACCUGGGGCCGCACGCGGCUCCUUGGGGUGAAGCCGUCACCCGACGGCCGGGCAGCCUCUCCAGCCCGAACCCGACAGCUCACCCCGCAGGCGUCGACGAGAGGACAU
rnacentral:sRNA from 2 species